ACUUAGUAGACAGUUUUAUUAAUAAACAGUUUAACAACCUGCACAUUAAAUCGAUAACAAGUAGUCAGGGAGGCCAGCAGGACCAACAAAGUGAUGACAACGUUAGCUUCACGUCGCAUGCUCUAGUAAGCAAAUUGGAAGAGAAACACCUCAACAUUACUUUUGAUGUCCACCUGCCAUAUAUACAUGUAGAAAAUAUCAAAUACAAACAUCACGGACAUCCAAAGACUCCAAGACAUAGAGGUCAAGCUAAGGAGCUUUCGAUAUGUUCGUCUCACUACCUACAAGGAUUAUGAAGAGCUAAUGACCUGAUGAGCCAUGUUGAUGUGAAUGAGCUAGUACCCAAUAAGACACAAGGACCAUAGAUUAAAAAAAAAUUGUAUGGAUGUCCAUUAUAGAAUGUAACUAAAUUCAUAUCCAAAAUAUUUAGCUUACGUUAUCAAUCACACAUUUCUACCCACUAAACUAUCUCACAUUGACCAACUCGACAACCAUGGCCCUGCCCAAAAAAAAAAGUCGGUGUUUCAACCAUAUCAACAAUUCUUUGCCUUGGUUAUUAUCCUUUAAUGUUCCUAUUUCUAAUGAAUUAGCAUCUUUGCUUCAAUUUGCGGAAUCUGGGAAUGGAAGAGUCAGAUACGGAGAAUAAACAAAAAGGAAAAGUUAAAUUCUGUGAGAUUUUGUUCCUCUGUACUUGCUCACAAGAAGCUUCGUUCGAUUGAUCGUCACAGCACUCUGGGGUACUCGCGAUACUGCAUAAAUUUCAAGUGCUGAAAUCGUCUGUUCUAAACACUAAAAUCACGAGGAUUCUGAAUUUAGAACCGUAAAAACGUUUACUCGAUGGAAUGACGAUGCAUGUUCUCGCUCACACCCAACGUACUCUACGUAUUCCUACGUAUUCAUGAUGAGAAGGAAGUUCAGCUUUUGCUCAAGCCAAGGCGGCUGCAAAGCACUCCUUGUUAAUAACGUGGCUCCGCCACCGAAUUUAUCACCUCCUCCUCAAUCUCUUCAAAUUGCAUGGGUCAGCAACACAAAGUGCAUGUUUCUGAAGCUUUUGUAUGUAUGGAUUACGUGUUGAUUCAAGCAGUGGGUUUCGGCCUAGCUACAAGAAGGAUGCAUGCAUGGCCUUUUGAUACGUCGUUGGGGACUCCAGGCACAAAACUACAUAUUCGAAUCAGCAUAAAAUCUUUCUUACCUUUGUGCGUGCCGGAAAGCCAUCCAGGCGGCAUUGACUUGCAUUGAUUCGUAUGCAUCUAUCUAGAAUUAUUACAU
rnacentral:lncRNA from 1 species